GUUAGGCUGGUACGUCUCUGCGUGGAAUUUGGGGCUUUGGAAUUUGAAGGGACCGAAUUCAAGCAGAUUGAUGGCCUGGCGAUGGGUUCGCCGUUGAGCCCGGUACUCGCCUGCCUUUUCAUGGAGACAUUAGAAGCGGACCACUUCUUGAGCAUUGCUGGUACCGAUACGACCUGGCUCCGGUAUGUCGAUGACAUUCUGGUCAUCAUCAACAAAGAUGUCGAUUUAAAUUGUAUUUUGCAGCAGUUGAACAGUGUGCAUCAGAAGAUACAAUUUACCUCCGAAGAGGAGGAAGAUGGCACUAUUGCAUUUCUGGACGCGUGCAUCCAUAAUCGGGGCAACAAGGCUGUAUUUUCAGUGUACCGGAAGCCCACCAACAAGAAUGACCUGAUACACUUCUACUCGGCGCACAGCAGUCGAACAAAAACUGGAGUCGUGCUGGGAUUUUAUCUUCGAGCACUUCGCAUUUGCUCAGAAGAAUUUAUCAGGGACGAGCUGAACUACAUUAAAGAAGUAUUUAUUGGACUCAAGUACCCGCCAGGUCUUUUAUGUCAGCUAGAGAAGAGGGCCGUCAAAAUACGAGCUAGAGCUUCAAACGCCACAAGGAAUAGCAAGAGGAGGUAUCUCUCAGUCCCAGCAUCAAAAGAAGUAGAAGCUGUGGACAAUUUUGUAAGGGAAACUAUCAAUAUUUCAUCCCCAGCGGGCCUGACCAUUAAAAACCUUGUGCAAACGAAGAAGAAAGGUUCUACUAAUGAGGAUAGUGUCGUUUACAAAAUUCCUUGUGGUGCAUGUGAUAAAUGUUACGUCGGUGAAACAUACAGGGGCAUUAGAACCAGGCAAAAGGAGCAUAAGAGUGACCUUAGGUACCACCGUCUGUCCAACGCCCUUGUGCAACACGUAGAUGAGGCGGGACAUCUCCCCAACUGGGAUGAUAUGUCUGUGUUGUGUAGGGGUUUGACAAAGAAGCAUAGGCAGGCUGUAGAAGCAGCUUAUAUUCACAUCUUUGACAAUCUAAAUGGUAAUGCAGGAAAAGUGAAACUGAGCAGAUUUACGGCUGAACUUAUUUUGCACGAUCUAAAAACCAGAAGUGCAAAGUGAGAAGCGACGGGUGUGAAGCAUUGCUAUUUGAAUUUUAAUCUGUGCCGCAAACUAUUUUGACAACUUUGAUGUUUAGGCGAAUUAUUUGCAUUUUAUUUUGUCUUUAUGGCUUGAAAAAGAUUUAUAUCGAAACACAUGUGUAGCCAACUUAAAGUAAUAUAACCAAAAACGUUCCCAUUGUUUUCCACUUAUAAUUCAAAAACAAGGCUAAAUGCAAUACUUAGUAAGUUAGUAAAUUGUCAUAAGAAGAGGCAAAGAAGUCAAGACUAAAUGUAGCUUGACUGGCCGCCACACCAUUCCCAAAGAAAAUAGUGAGAAGGAGAGAGUGAUCCAGGGUCCGACAGCACGCCUGUGCAGCAUGUUGACAGGGCCACCCGCGGCUGUGCGUGUGGCGGCUACUGACCUGUGCGUCGGAUCGGAACAGCUCCCCUCCCCUCCCCCCCCCCCCCGCCGUCCGAACUCGCCGGUCACGUGACCGGCCGAGAUGACCCGGGGGGCGGCGGGCGGUGGUAUAAAAGCGGCGUGCGGCCGCCGGAGUUCGAGCAGCACCGCCGCCGCUUCA